rnacentral:rRNA from 1 species
GAUGAACGCUGGCGGCGUGCCUAAUACAUGCAAGUCGAGCGAACAGACGAGGAGCUUGCUCCUCUGACGUUAGCGGCGGACGGGUGAGUAACACGUGGAUAACCUACCUAUAAGACUGGGAUAACUUCGGGAAACCGGAGCUAAUACCGGAUAAUAUAUUGAACCGCAUGGUUCAAUAGUGAAAGACGGUUUUGCUGUCACUUAUAGCUGGCUCCGCGCCGCAUUAGCUAGUUGGUAAGGUAACGGCUUACCAAGGCAACGAUGCGUAGCCGACCUGAGAGGGUGAUCGGCCACACUGGAACUGAGACACGGUCCAGACUCCUACGGGAGGCAGCAGUAGGGAAUCUUCCGCAAUGGGCGAAAGCCUGACGGAGCAACGCCGCGUGAGUGAUGAAGGUCUUCGGAUCGUAAAACUCUGUUAUUAGGGAAGAACAAAUGUGUAAGUAACUAUGCACGUCUUGACGGUACCUAAUCAGAAAGCCACGGCUAACUACGUG